rnacentral:rRNA from 1 species
UCCUACGGGUGGCAGCAGUGGGGAAUUUUGGACAAUGGGGGCAACCCUGAUCCAGCCAUGCCGCGUGAGUGAAGAAGGCCUUCGGGUUGUAAAGCUCUUUCGGCCGGGAAGAAAUCGCCUUGGUUAAUACCUGAGGUGGAUGACGGUACCGGAAGAAGAAGCACCGGCUAACUACGUGCCAGCAGCCGCGGUAAUACGUAGGGUGCGAGCGUUAAUCGGAAUUACUGGGCGUAAAGCGUGCGCAGGCGGCGCCAUAAGACAGCUGUGAAAUCCCCGGGCUUAACCUGGGAACUGCGGUUGUGACUGUGGUGCUUGAGUGCGGCAGAGGGGGGUGGAAUUCCACGUGUAGCAGUGAAAUGCGUAGAGAUGUGGAGGAACACCGAUGGCGAAGGCAGCCCCCUGGGUUGACACUGACGCUCAUGCACGAAAGCGUGGGGAGCAAACAGGAUUAGAUACCCGGGUAGUC